rnacentral:rRNA from 1 species
CAAUAGUGUAUAUUAAAGUUGUUGCAGUUAAAAAGCUCGUAGUUGGAUUUCAAGAAACGCAUCUGGGAAACCAGUUUGCUUUCUACCAGUCUUUGACUGUUACUGUGAGAAAAUUAGAGUGUUUCAAGCAGGCAAUUGCAGGAAUACAUUAGCAUGGAAUAACGAAUGUGUCUACAAUUUGGUUGAUUGUAGAUUACGAUUAAUAGGGACAGUUGGGGGCAUUAGUAUUUAAUUGUCAGAGGUGAAAUUCUUGGAUUAGUUAAAGACUAACGUAUGCGAAAGCAUUUGCCAAGGAUGUUUUCAUUA